UGGGGAAUAUUGCGCAAUGGGGGAAACCCUGACGCAGCAACGCCGCGUGAAUGAUGAAGGCCUUAGGGUUGUAAAGUUCUGUCUUCUGGGACGAUAAUGACGGUACCAGAGGAGGAAGCCACGGCUAACUACGUGCCAGCAGCCGCGGUAAUACGUAGGUGGCAAGCGUUGUCCGGAUUUACUGGGCGUAAAGGAUGCGUAGGCGGAUAUUUAAGUCAGAUGUGAAAUACCCGGGCUCAACUUGGGUGCUGCAUUUGAAACUGGAUAUCUAGAGUGCGGGAGAGGUAAGUGGAAUUCCUAGUGUAGCGGUGAAAUGCGUAGAGAUUAGGAAGAACACCAGUGGCGAAGGCGACUUACUGGACAGAGAUUGACGCUGAGAUGCGAAAGCGUGGGGAGCAAACA
rnacentral:rRNA from 1 species